GAUGAACGCUGGCGGCGUGCCUAAUACAUGCAAGUCGAGCGAAUGGAUUAAGAGCUUGCUCUUAUGAAAUUAGCGGCGGACGGGUGAGUAACACGUGGGUAACCUGCCCAUAAGACUGGGAUAACUCCGGGAAACCGGGGCUAAUACCGGAUAACAUUUUGAACCGCAUGGUUCGAAAUUGAAAGGCGGCUUCGGCUGUCACUUAUGGAUGGACCCGCGUCGCAUUAGCUAGUUGGUGAGGUAACGGCUCACCAAGGCAACGAUGCGUAGCCGGCCUGAGAGGGUGAUCGGCCACACUGGGACUGGGACGCGGCCCAGACUCCUACGGGAGGCAGCAGUCGGGAAUCUUCCGCAAUGGACGAAAGUCUGACGGAGCAACGCCGCGUGAGUGAUGAAGGCUUUCGGGUCGUAAAACUCUGUUGUUAGGGAAGAACAAGUGCUAGUUGAAUAAGCUGGCACCUUGACGGUACCUAACCAGAAAGCCACGGCUAACUACGUGCCAGCCGCCGCCGUAA
rnacentral:rRNA from 1 species